GAUGAACGCUAGCUACAGGCUUAACACAUGCAAGUCGAGGGGCAGCAUGGUCUUAGCUUGCUAAGGCCGAUGGCGACCGGCGCACGGGUGAGUAACACGUAUCCAACCUGCCGUCUACUCUUGGACAGCCUUCUGAAAGGAAGAUUAAUACAAGAUGGCAUCAUGAGUCCGCAUGUUCACAUGAUUAAAGGUAUUCCGGUAGACGAUGGGGAUGCGUUCCAUUAGAUAGUAGGCGGGGUAACGGCCCACCUAGUCUUCGAUGGAUAGGGGUUCUGAGAGGAAGGUCCCCCACAUUGGAACUGAGACACGGUCCAAACUCCUACGGGAGGCAGCAGUGAGGAAUAUUGGUCAAUGGGCGAGAGCCUGAACCAGCCAAGUAGCGUGAAGGAUGACUGCCCUAUGGGUUGUAAACUUCUUUUAUAAAGGAAUAAAGUCGGGUAUGCAUACCCGUUUGCAUGUACUUUAUGAAUAAGGAUCGGCUAACUCCGUGCCAGCAGCCGCGGUAAUACGGAGGAUCCGAGCGUUAUCCGGAUUUAUUGGGUUUAAAGGGAGCGUAGAUGGAUGUUUAAGUCAGUUGUGAAAGUUUGCGGCUCAACCGUAAAAUUGCAGUUGAUACUGGAUAUCUUGAGUGCAGUUGAGGCAGGCGGAAUUCGUGGUGUAGCGGUGAAAUGCUUAGAUAUCACAAAGAACUCCGAUUGCGAAGGCAGCCUGCUAAGCUGCAACUGACAUUGAGGCUCGAAAGUGUGGGUAUCAAACAGGAUUAGAUACCCUGGUAGUCCACACGGUAAACGAUGAAUACUCGCUGUUUGCGAUAUACAGCAAGCGGCCAAGCGAAAGCGUUAAGUAUUCCACCUGGGGAGUACGCCGGCAACGGUGAAACUCAAAGGAAUUGACGGGGGCCCGCACAAGCGGAGGAACAUGUGGUUUAAUUCGAUGAUACGCGAGGAACCUUACCCGGGCUUAAAUUGCAGAUGAAUUACGGUGAAAGCCGUAAGCCGCAAGGCAUCUGUGAAGGUGCUGCAUGGUUGUCGUCAGCUCGUGCCGUGAGGUGUCGGCUUAAGUGCCAUAACGAGCGCAACCCUUGUUGUCAGUUACUAACAGGUUCCGCUGAGGACUCUGACAAGACUGCCAUCGUAAGAUGUGAGGAAGGUGGGGAUGACGUCAAAUCAGCACGGCCCUUACGUCCGGGGCUACACACGUGUUACAAUGGGGGGUACAGAGGGCCGCUACCACGCGAGUGGAUGCCAAUCCCAAAAACCUCUCUCAGUUCGGACUGGAGUCUGCAACCCGACUCCACGAAGCUGGAUUCGCUAGUAAUCGCGCAUCAGCCACGGCGCGGUGAAUACGUUCCCGGGCCU
rnacentral:rRNA from 1 species